rfam:Chlorocebus sabaeus isolate 1994-021 chromosome 6, whole genome shotgun sequence.
GCCAGGCAUGGUGGCGGGCACCUGUAAUCCCAGCUACUCGGGAGGCUGAGGCAGGAGAAUUGCUUGUACCUGGGAGGCAGAGGUUGCAGUGAGCUGAGAUCGCACCACUGCACUCCAGCCUGGGGNNNNNNNNNNCCCCCAGGCUGGAGUGCAGUGGUGCGAUCUCAGCUCACUGCAACCUCUGCCUCCCAGGUACAAGCAAUUCUCCUGCCUCAG